rnacentral:rRNA from 1 species
ACGGAAGGCAGCAGUGGGGAAUAUUGCACAAUGGGGGAAACCCUGAUGCAGCGACGCCGCGUGAAGGAAGAAGUAUCUCGGUAUGUAAACUUCUAUCAGCAGGGAAGAUAAUGACGGUACCUGACUAAGAAGCCCCGGCUAACUACGUGCCAGCAGCCGCGGUAAUACGUAGGGGGCAAGCGUUAUCCGGAUUUACUGGGUGUAAAGGGAGCGUAGACGGUUUGGCAAGUCUGAAGUGAAAUGCGGGGGCUCAACUCCUGAACUGCUUUGGAAACUGUCGAACUAGAGUGCAGGAGAGGUAAGUGGAAUUCCUAGUGUAGCGGUGAAAUGCGUAGAUAUUAGGAGGAACACCAGUGGCGAAGGCGGCUUACUGGACUGUAACUGACGUUGAGGCUCGAAAGCGUGGGGAGCAAACAGGAUUAGAUACCCUGGUA